UCUUGACAUCCAGAGAACUUUCCAGAGAUGGAUUGGUGCCUUCGGGAACUCUGAGACAGGUGCUGCAUGGCUGUCGUCAGCUCGUGUUGUGAAAUGUUGGGUUAAGUCCGCAACGAGCGCAACCCCUAUCCUUUGUUGCCAGCGAUUCGGUCGGGAACUCAAAGGAGACUGCCGGUGAUAAACCGGAGGAAGGUGGGGAUGACGUCAAGUCAUCAUGGCCCUUACGAGUAGGGCUACACACGUGCUACAAUGGCGUAUACAAAGAGAAGCAACCUCGCGAGAGCAAGCGGACCUCAUAAAGUACGUCGUAGUCCGGAUUGGAGUCUGCAACUCGACUCCAUGAAGUCGGAAUCGCUAGUAAUCGUAGAUCAGAAUGCCUACGGUCCGAAUACGUUCCGGCCUUGUACACACCGCCCGUCACACCAUGGGAGUGGGUUGCAAAAGAAGUAGAUAGCUUAACCUUCGGGAGGGCGUUUACCACUUUGUGAUUCAUGACUGGGGUGAAGUCGUAACAAGGUAAGCGUAGCGAG
rnacentral:rRNA from 1 species